rnacentral:rRNA from 2 species
UGAGGAAUAUUGGUCAAUGGGCGAGAGCCUGAACCAGCCAAAUCGCGUGGAGGAAGAAGGUAUUAUGUAUUGUAAACUCCUUUUGUCGGGGAAUAAAGUGCACCACGUGUGGUGUUUUGUAUGUACCCGAAGAAUAAGCAUCGGCUAACUCCGUGCCAGCAGCCGCGGUAAUACGGAGGAUGCGAGCGUUAUCCGGAUUUAUUGGGUUUAAAGGGUGCGUAGGCGGGACGACCAGUCAGCGGUGAAAGUACAUGGCUCAACCAUGUAAUUGCCGUUGAAACUGUCGUUCUUGAGUAUGGAUGAGGUAGGCGGAAUUCGUGGUGUAGCGGUGAAAUGCUUAGAUAUCACGAGGAACUCCAAUUGCGAAGGCAGCUUACCAGACCAUAACUGACGCUGAGGCACGAAGGUGCGGGUAUCAAACAGG